UGUUUCAUAGGUUUCCUGUGUUUCUUGUUUCAGAUGCUUUUGUUUCCUCAUCGCACUCCUCUUCAUCUUUAACCUAACAAUGUCACUUCCAAUAUCAAAGUUAAGGUUAUGUCUUUCUUAUUCCAUUUCCAAGUUUUCUCCUUUUCUUUCAAACCAUUCUUCCUUCUCUUCCUUUCACUUACACUAUCACUCUCAGCCUCCUUCACCUGACCAUGACAAUGUUCACGAUGUGGUCUCCCAAUUUCUUAGCAUGUUUCAUAUGCGUCCUGUUCCUCCCAUUUACCUAUUUGGGAAGAUUUUGGGAUCUCUUACAGGGAUGAAACACUAUUCUACAACUAUUUCCCUUUUUAAGCAAAUGGAGUUCAAGGGAAUUCAGAGUGAUCUUGUCAUUCUCAGCAUCGUCAUCAAUUGUUUUUGUCACUUGCAUCAAAUGACCUUCGCCUUCUCUGUGCUUGCCAAAAUUCUCAAACUUGGUUAUCAUCCCGAUGUCGUAACCUUAAGUACCCUCAUGAAAGGUCUCUGUCUUAAUGGUGAGGUUAAGAAAGCUCUUACCUUUCAUGACAAGGCAGUAGCACAAGGAUUUCUACUUGACGAGGUUAGUUACGGGAUUUUGAUCAAUGGCUUGUGCAAGGUAGGAAAAACCGAAGCUGCCAUCAAGUUGCUCACAAUAAUAGAAGGCCGAUUAUGCAAGUCUAAUGUGGUAAUGUACUCCAGUAUAAUUGAUUCUCUGUUCAAAGAUAAUCUUAUAAAAGAGGCUUAUGAUAUGGUUAUUAAAAUGAUGUCAAAUAACAUCAUGCCUAAUGUUUAUAUUUAUACUAUAAUGAUAGAUGCUUUAUGUAAGGAAGGAAAGAUAAAAGAAGCUAAGAAUGUGCUAGCUGUGAUGAUAAAAGCUUGUGUGAAACCUGCAAUUGUUACCUUUAGCACUUUGAUGGAUGGGUAUAUUUUAGUUAACGAGGUGGAAAGUGCUAAACACAUAUUUAAUGCUAUGACUCAAAUUGGAGUAACUCGUGACGUUUACAGCUACAAUAUCAUGAUUAAUGGAUUAUGUAAGAGUAAAAGAGUGGAUGAGGCCAUGAAACUCUUUCAGAAAAUGCAUAAGAGGAACAUGGUUCCUGAUAGAGUGACUUACACUACUCUUAUAGAUGGGUUAUGCAAAUCUGGAAGAAUAACUUAUGUUUGGGAUCUUAUGAAUGAGAUGCAUGAUAGAAAUCAGCAACCAAAUGUAAUCACUUACAGUUGCUUGAUAGAUGGUUUAUGCAAAAACUAUCAUCUAGACAAGGCAUUUGAAUUAAUCAGGACAAUGAUGGAAAAGAGAAUUCAACCAAAUUUGUACACCUGGAACAUACUUAUUGAUGGAAUGUGCAAAGGAGGAAGACUUGAGGAGGCACAAGAGACCUUUCAAGAUCUUUUAAUGAAAGGGUACCGUUUAAAUGUAUAUUGUUAUAAUACUAUGAUCAAUGGUCUUUGUAAAAAGGGUUUGAUUGAUGAUGCAUUAACCUUAUGGUCCAAAAUGGAAGACAAUGGUUGCUUACCUGAUGCAAUAACUUACGAAAUAAUGAUCAGGGCUCUCUUUGAAAAGGAUGAGUUUGAUAAGGCAGAGACAUUUGUUCGUGAAAUGAUAUUUAGAGGCUUGUUGACAUGAUAAAAGAGGAGGGAUUUUGUUUACUGAACACAUCAGAUUGAGCCACUCACACUCUUACAAUUUACAAGGCUGGAGUAGAGUGGUGAUGCAUUGGAAUCUCUGGUGCUGCAUUCUUUUGGUAUUGGAUGAAGUUGAUGAAUUCUUGUCUUUCAAUUCCCGGAAAGACAUGCAUUGGAUAUUGGAGCGUGUAGGGAGGAGAUCCAGUGCAGACCCAAGCUCAAAUUCAUUAUGCACACCGGGCUGGCCGAACUGGUAAGCUUGGUAGGAAUGGUAGAGUGCUAACCAUAUGUGAAGAGCCAGAAGUGUUUGUUGUGAAGAAAUUGCAGAAGCAGUUGGGAAUUCCAUUUGCAUCCUGUGAUAUUUCGGAUGGGAAACUACUUGUCACUGAAGAAGAGAAAACAGUAAAAACUUCUAUAAGUUGAG